rnacentral:misc_RNA from 1 species
AAGUCGUAACAAGGUUUCCGUAGGUGAACCUGCGGAAGGAUCAUUACAAGUGAGGCUACCGAACGCUGGAAACAGCGGUUAGGAGCUUACACCCACCCGUGUUUACAUACUAUUGUUGCUUUGGCGGGCCGUGGCCUCUACGUGCGGGCUCUGCUCGUCGUGCUGCCCGCAGCAAGGACCAACAUCUGAAUGUUAGUGAUGUCUGAGUACUAUCUAAUAGUUAAAA